CAACGAUAUCCAAUAAGAUCACACAUAAUCAAUGAAAUGCAAUUAGAGGUCAAAAGAGUAUCAAAAUAUUACACAAGUUCUUAGUCACACGUUGCAACACAUUUUCACAUGGAAAACAUUUAAAUUUGAAAAAUACUACUUCUAGAAGAAUUGUAGGCCUUUGAGUUAGCUUUUCAAUGUAUUUGAUUUGAGGAAUUUUUGUUGAUAACAGUAAGGAUAAUAAAGUUUAAAUUUGCAAUAUCUCUGGAAUAGCACAUUGUGUGAGCUUGAAUAGUCUCAAUCUGACAUUGAGGGAGAAAGUUAUAAUAAAAAUACUAAUCGAUGCUAGCUGCCACUAUUUAGACAAUCGAGCACCAUGAUUAUAUAAGGAACGGUAAAAUUUAAUUUUCAAGCUGAUAUUGAGUCUCUUUUCAUCCCAAACACUACCCAUUAUAAAUACACACUCUAUGAGACAUCCAAAAGUGUGGUUCAACAAUAUUUUGAUUGUAGAGAUCAUUCUUUGAAGAGCUAAACUUCCUUUCAUUGAUUCCUUGAUUCAACCACGUUAUAUAUAUUCUUCAUAUUGAAUCCCGAACAUUAUUGCAGUAUUAGUAGUGCCUUUUGUAAGUCGAGAGUUUGUUCUUUGAAAGCCACACACAUUUGAAUAUCUCGGGCAUUAGAAUAUACGUCAAAACACAAAAGAUAUUUGAUCAAACACUAAAACAAAACCUUACAUUCACCAAUAGCUUUCAGAGUUCUAGAGUUUUGAGAAGAUACGCUUAGAGUUCCGAAGCUCAACAACGAGGAUCAUUAUUAUUGAUCCAUGCGGAGAGAAAAGUAGCACAAAGUUUUGAAAAGUGCACAAUCAAAUUCCUCGGUGAUUUAUAAGUUAGGUAGUCAGAGUCAAAUAAGGUCUAACAUUGUUUGGACUAAUUAUAAGUGAACUUUUCUAGUGAAUUUUACUGACAAGUUUGCCCGAAAGUUUUUUAUCCAUUAGAAAUAUUCCUCUGUGAUCAUUUGGUAUUAUUUAUUUAUUUUCUCCAUUAAAUAUGAAUGAUUGUGAUUGUUUAACCAUAGGAAUUAAAUGAAUUGUUCCUUAAUCACCUGGAAACAAUUAAUAAAUGAUUUAUUGCUUUUAAUUGGUUUAAUUCAACAUUUGGUUCGAAAUUUUUC
rnacentral:lncRNA from 1 species